GAUGAAGAACGUAGCGAAAUGCGAUAAGUAGUGUGAAUUGCAGAAUUCAGUGAAUCAUCGGAUCUUUGAACGCACAUUGCGCCCGCCAGCACUCUGGCGGGCAUGCCUGUUCGAGCGUCAUUUCAACCAUCAAGCCCCAGGCUUGCGUUGGAGCCCUGCGGCUGCCGCAGCCUCCUAAAAGCAGUGGCGGGCUCGCUAUCACACCGAGUGCAGUAGAUUACUCUUCGCUCAGGGCGUGCAGCGGGUUCCGGCCGUGAAACCCCCUACUUUUAAAGGUUGACCUCGGAUCAGGUAGGAAUACCCGCUGAACUUAAGCAUAUCAAUAAGCGGAGGA
rnacentral:misc_RNA from 1 species